CAAGAUGGAGAACACAGAUCUUCAAUCCAGAGUAACAGCGAGUGAAGAUAAGAGCAAAGUGUUGGAGGCCAGAAUGAACGCCAGUGAAACCGAGUUGGAGG